AGGCCUCUUCACCUGCAGGCGCACAGAAAUGGGCUCUUCUUCCUGAUCUCCCAAUGCGUCACGGGAACCUUGGAGGGACACUGCCUCCCUCUGGCCCUGGGUUUGCUCUUCUGAGGAAGAAGAAUAUCUGGAGCAUAGCCAUGCAUGGGCGCCACAUGGCCGGGGAAGCAGACUAUACUCUACGGCAUUGUUCAUUACGACAAAGGACUGGAGAGAAGUCCAGGGUCUGUGAAGAGGGAACUGCUUAAAUAAAAAUGAACCACCGCUGGAAGAAAGAAAGAGGAUGUACUACAGGCUAUAGCGCUGCCAGGGAAAGCCGAGGACGCUCCUUCUUUGUCACCAGCAAAGACUCAUUCAGUUCAGUGACAGCCCAGCCAGUCCUACCCUGGUGGCUGGACACUCAGAGUCCUCGCUGCUUCCGUGGCUGCUUUUCCCACUCCUUCGAGGGCUAUGGCUCCAGUCGUGGUCAAGCUACUGACCUGGAUGCUCUGUGUCGUCAUUUGCAAACAUACCUACAUCAGGGCGACAGCAAACGUUACAGGUGGGACAGAGGAGGGCCGAGUGAGACCAGCCUGAGGUCCUGCCUUGCCCACACAAGUGGCUACUUCUUCCAUGCUGGGGAGGAUGAGGCUGUGCAAGAGGGGCCGAGGAAAUGAUAAGUGAAAAUCCAUCACAGCUUCUGGACUCAACUCAAAGGACACACGAGGCUGCUGGAACACCAGCAGGACUCAGCCCGACUCGGCGAUGUUGUCAGGAGAAUGAUUCCGUUUCAUGCUGAAGCGGCCUGGCAGGGCAGGUCUUUGGAGGAUAGCUUGCAAAGAGCCUAAGAACCAUCUGAAAGGAUCAAGGAAGGACUGUCCGAGCAGGCUCUCGACACAGCCCCUGCACCAGAGCUCUCCACAGCGGGCCACAGCCGGCUCCCUGGGCAACUGGCCGUCUCGUCUCUGCGUCCAUCUGUGUGUGCCGUCUGGGUCGGCCCUGCCUCUCCUGGAUUGUCCUCGGCCAGGCCAGGGCUUGGCCACCACUAAAGAAGGCAUUUCAUAGUAACACUGCAAAAUCAAGCUGGGAGCAGCCUCAUGGCCACUUGGUUGAGCUUGUCCCAGGCUGGAAGGACUCAAAUCCUGUAACAUGGUGUCAUGGAAGGUGUCCUCUGGAAUCUCAGCUCUGGGCAGUGCUUAGCUAGGCUACAUCCAAAGUAACACCCCAGAGAAUAUGCCCUAAACUCUCAGUUGUCACUCUGAAGACCCCUAUACUAACCCCUCACCCACCCACUGCUUCAACCCACUGUGGUUACUGCCCACUUCUCUGUGCCACGCAGCCUCCUGGGGGUGGGCUGUGGCACACAGGUGCUCCCACAUGCUGAUGUGGCAGCUAGAAUAGGGCAGGUGUGGAGGGAGCCUAGCUGGAAGAGCAUCUGUGCUGACACGAGUGGGUCCUGCCUAGGCCAGCACCGGGGCCUGUCCCCAGGUCCCCACCUGUGUGCGGAGCACCAAUCAACGCUGCUCUGCCCCAGGCCACCUUUGGGCUUGGCUUAAUCAUGGCUGCCCCGGCUCCAUUCUGACCCCCAUGCUUACCCCAAGAGUAGUUCCUGUGUGCUUAGCGAGCACUUCUAGCCUCGAGAAGCCUUGUUUCUGGGAGGAUCCUUUCAGGAGAGUGGAGGGGAACAGGGGAGAGCAGUGGCUGGGGAAGGAGGCAGCAGGCGGCACCCUGGAGUGCAUUUUCCCUGCUGUUUGCUCUGCUGCGGGAAGGCUCAGGAGGAAUAGUAAGUCAAAGCGAGAGCUAGAGGAGUCCUGCGCUGACAGCUGCAGAGACUGAAGGUGGUAUGACUGUGGCAGGCUGCAUCAAGGCCACGCUGCCCUGAGGCCAGACGGGCAUGGAACGGUGCCUGGACUCUGGCCUGGAGUCUGGGAGUGAGGAGGAGGAUGCUGUUGCCGGGAAGAGCACGAGGGGCCUGAGUGGGGACCAGUGAGAGGUUGUGAGCUCCUUUGUCGUUGUGUUUUUUCCAAUAGAAUUCUACAUUUGUAUUUUUUAAAAAUGGAGGCAUCACAUAACAAAGUGUGUAAAGCGUGCUGAUAUGAAGCCAAUCUUUACCGUGUGUCUUUGCACACGGAUAGAGAAGCUUAUCAGCACUCUGUGGCUCCUGCAUUAGCCAGGUGUUUUAUCUUCUGUAUUUGUGAUGCUUUGACGUCUUCUGAGGUUCUGCUGGCUGGGGAGAGACUGCCCCUGCAAGUGUGCCUUUCAUAUGCAAACCAGCGAUCCAGAGCCCACCCCCUCACCGCCUCCUGCGUGGGACUCUCACACAGCAAGCCGGGCGUCCUCCAGCCCUGCAUCACUCCAGGGCUGGGGACCAGACAACUGGAGACCACCUUGUCGCCAGAGCUUUCCGAAAUUAUUGAAAUUAGCCGAUCCUAAACUUGCUCAAACUUGUCUCCCCGCCUCCUCUGUUCCCACCCUUGGAAACAGCAGUAUGGGCCCUGGCCACGUGUCCUUCUGCCUCCUGACUGACGCUGGUGCUUCCCCAUGUGGCCCUGCAUCAGGAAUUCUAAGUAGUAAACUUUUCUCUCAAAGUCUCUGUGCCUGUCACCUUACCAUAUCUGAUCAAAACAAAAUCCCAUUUCAAGAAGGCCUGUCUGUCCCUUGCUGGUCUACACACUCCUCCAUCCCAGGAGGUAGCCGUUGUUGUGAUUUCUAUCAUAACAGAGUGUCGCCUUGUUCUUUAAAU
rnacentral:lncRNA from 1 species